rnacentral:lncRNA from 1 species
AAUGGAAAAAUGGAGCACAUGCAUCUCCCAAAAAUAAGAAGGUUCUUUUAUUCUCAAGACUUCCCUACAGACCCUAAUAUAAGAAUACAAAAACCUUUUAAAGGGGAAAGACCAAUAAAAUAAAGACUUAAAAUCAAAUCACCCUGUUCUAGCUACUAUCUUUAGAGCUUAUGGGUUGAGAAGAGAGGCAGACAAACAGGACCUGCAAGUGUGACAAUUCCAUCACUCUUCACUUCC